UGGGGAAUUUUGCACAAUGGGGGAAACCCUGAUGCAGCGACGCCGCGUGAUUUAGAAGGCCUUCGGGUUGUAAAAAUCUUUUCUAUGGGAAGAAAAUGACAGUACCAUAGGAAUAAGGACCGGCUAAUUACGUGCCAGCAGCCGCGGUAAUACGUAAGGUCCGAGCGUUGUCCGGAAUCAUUGGGCGUAAAGGGUACGUAGGCGGGUAAGCAAGUUAGAAGUGAAAUCCUAUAGCUCAACUAUAGUAAGCUUUUAAAACUGCUCAUCUUGAGGUAUGGAAGGGAAAGUGGAAUUCCUAGUGUAGCGGUGAAAUGCGCAGAUAUUAGGAGGAAUACCGGUGGCGAAGGCGACUUUCUGGCCAUAACCUGACGCUGAGGUACGAAAGCGCGGGUAGCAAACAG
rnacentral:rRNA from 1 species